GUGAAUCAUCGAAUCUUUGAACGCAAAUUGCACUCUCUUCGGAGAGUAUGCCUGUUUGAGGGUCAGCCUAAAAAAAAAUCGACAUAGUCGCUGUUUCGCGGUGACAUUCGUCGGAAAUUGGGUCAUUUUAAACUUUUGGGUUUUAAGCGGCUUAAAAUUUUCUUUACGAUUCCACGAACGUUUUUAAAUUUUACUCCUUCAACGUUUAAGGUAUUCAAC
rnacentral:misc_RNA from 1 species